UAAGUGAGGACUGUGAAGAAGCUAGAGCAGGACCUGAAACUGGGAUUGAAGUAGGAGAGGACUCGGCUACCAUUCUUUUUCUGCAUACUUCCUCCUCUAACCCAUGAAUAGACUUUCUUCUCUAUGGUAGCUUCAAUUUGGAAGCCAUUUCGGACAAGAGAGACUUGCAAACAGCUUAGGAGACCUAAUAGAGGAGAGUGGAAAGGAUUUUAGAGAAAAAAUAAAGAUUUUGGGAAGAUAGACCGCUGGUUUGGAGAAGAGAGUUUGAAGCUAGGGUAAGCUUGAUCCACCCAAACGAAGAAGAAAAAAAAGAAAUUUAGUUCCUAAAAGGGCGAUUUGAAGGGAGAAACACGGUGGGAAGAGGGAUUUUAAGAGAAUUUUUGCAGUUGAGAGAGUAGAGAGGGAGGAGAUUUUUGUUCGGUGGGAUGAGGAAGACGAAAGGCAAAGGAUCGGCUCCUUUACAAAUGGAGUUUUUCUAAUAAAAUAGAGCGUCUGAUGUAUUUUAAUAAAAAUUACAAGUUUACCCUAGGGUUGACCCUGGGGGUCAACUCAUGGCUAGAAAAAUUCAAAAAAAUAGUGGAAAAAUUUUGAAAAAAUUUAAAACUUGAGGCAAGGGUGUCUAUUUAAGAGAUUGAUCAUAUAAAGGAUAGUUUUGAGCUUUUAAGAAGGGAGAGAUGAGAAUUGAGCUCAAAAAUUGGUUCAAUAAAUUUUUGGCAAAAAAAAAACUUAGAAUUAGAAAGAUACUCAAGCUGAU
rnacentral:lncRNA from 1 species